rnacentral:lncRNA from 1 species
CAACAGGCUAUGGUCUGGGCUAUCUCUGUGGGGUGCAAUGUCUGCUCUCUGUAUCAAUACAGAGGGUAACAAACACUAUGUGGAUGCCGACUGGGGCUGCAGGUCAGGGGACGGCGCUGUAAUAGGACCCAAACUUUCUAACAAAACAUUGGCCUUUUCACUUGUUCUUUUCAAGAUUUAACAGUGCCAUGCGGUCCCGAUUGCACUCACCAUCCACACCAUCAUGUAGGAGAAGGCUGCGAUCCACAGCGUGGAGGAAGCAAACGUCACCAUGAACCAUUUCUCCCAGCGCGGCUUGUUGCAGUUGGGUACAGUGAAGUAUAAGACGAAACUCAGCGGCCAGGUGAACGCCCAUUUCACUGUUUCCAGUUUACCCGCU